AUUGAACGCUGGCGGCAUGCUUUACACAUGCAAGUCGAACGAGUGGCGAACGGGUGAGUAAUAUAUCGGAACGUACUGAGUAAUGGGGGAUAACCAAUCGAAAGAUUGGCUAAUACCGCAUAUUAUUCGAGCGUCCGAUAACUGAUUAGCUAGGUGGUGGGGUAAAGGCCUACCCAGGCGACGAUCAGUAGCGGGUCUUGGAGGACCAGCAGCUAAACUGGGACUGAGACAGCGCCCAGACUCCGACGGUAGGCAGCAGUGGGGAAUUUUGGACAAUGGGGGCAACCCGUAUCCAGCCAUGCCGGGUGGAUGAAGAAGGCCUUCGGGUUGUAAAGUACUUUGGUUAGGGAAGCGGUACCUAAAGAAUAAGCACCGGCUAACUACGUGCCGACAGCCGCGGUAAUUC
rnacentral:rRNA from 1 species